rnacentral:rRNA from 1 species
ACCUGGUUGAUUCUGCCAGUAGUCAUAUGCUUGUCUCAAAGAUUAAGCCAUGCAUGUCUAAGUAUAAGCAAUUAUACCGCGAAACUGCGAAUGGCUCAUUAUAUAAGUUAUCGUUUAUUUGAUAGUACCUUACUACUUGGAUAACCGUCGUAAUUCUAGAGCUAAUACAUGCUAAAAAUCCCGACUUCGGAAGGGAUGUAUUAAUUAGAUUAAAAACCAAUGCCCUUCGGGGCUCACUGGUGUUUCAUGAUAACUCCUCGAAUCGCAUGGCAUUGUGCCGGCGAUGGUUCAUUCAAAUUUCUUCCCUAUCAACUUUCGAUGUUUGGGUAUUGGCCAAACAUGGAUGCAACGGGUAACGGAGGGUUAGGGCUCGACCCCGGAGAAGGAGCCUGAGAAACGGCUACUACAUCCAAGCAAGGCAGCAGGCGCGCAAAUUACCCAAUCCCGACACGGGGAGGUAGUGACAAUAAAUACUGAUACAGGGCUCUUUUGGGUCUUGUAAUUGGAAUGAGUACAAUUUAAAUCCCUUACCGAGGAACAAUUGGAGGGCAAGUCUGGUGCCAGCAGCCGCGGUAAUUCCAGCUCCAAUAGCGUAUAUUAAAGUUGUUGUGGUUAAGAUGCUCGUAGUUGAACCUUGGGCCUGGCUGGCCGGUCCGCCUCACCGCGUGUACUGGUACGGCCGGGCGUUUCCCUCUGUGGAACCCCAUGCCCUUCACUGGGUGUGGCGGGGAAACAGGACUUUUACUGUGAAAAAAUUAGAGUGCUCCAGGCAGGCCUAUGCUCGAAUACAUUAGCAUGGAAUAAUAGAAUAGGACGUGUGGUUCUAUUUUGUUGGUUUCUAGGACCGCCGUAAUGAUUAAUAGGGACAGUCGGGGGCAUCAGUAUUCAAUUGUCAGAGGUGAAAUUCUUGGAUUUAUUGAAGACUAACUACUGCGAAAGCAUUUGCCAAGGAUGUUUUCAUUAAUCUGGAACGAAAGUUAGGGGAUCGAAGACGAUCAGAUACCGUCGUAGUCUUAACCAUAAACUAUGCCGACUAGAGAUCGGACGGUGUUAUUUCUG